rnacentral:lncRNA from 1 species
GGGAAGGCAGAGGGCUGUGGAAUAAACACGAACCAGGAGUCCAGGGCCCGGAGUCCAGCCUGGCCACGUGACACACUGGUGGUACAACUUUUGGGACCUUUUCCCUCCUCUUCUAUAGAAAUGAGCAGCUUCACUGGGCACGGUGGUGCACGCCUGUCAACCCCAGCGGCUCAGGAGGCUGAAGCAGGAGGAUUGCAAGUUCAAAGCCAGCCUCAGCAACUUAGCAAGGCUCUAAGCAACUCAGUGAAGACCUGUUUUAAAAUACAAAAAGAGUUGGGGAAGUGGCUCAGUGGUAGAGUGCCCCUGGGUUCGAUCCCUAGUACCAAAAAAGGAAGCAAGACAGGGAGGGAGGAAGGAAGGAGCUUCAGUUAGACACAAUGGCACCCACUUGUAACUCCAGCAACCCAGGAGGCUGAGGCAGGAGGAUCACAAGUUCAAGGCCAGCCUCUGCAAUUUAACAAGACAUUGUUCAAAAUCAAAAGAACUGGGGGAUGUAGCUUAGUGGUAGAGCACCCUGGAUUCCUUCCCUGAUACUGGGGUGGGGGUGGGAAGAAAGGAAGGGGCAGCAGCUUGGUCUGAACCCUCCCUAGGGCCCUCUCCAUCUUCACAUAGCCACCCACCCUUAGCGCUGAGCACACAUCCCUGACUGCUGCUCUUCCUCUCUGUCUGGACCACAGCCCCUGCG